AUGAAGAAAAUGAUCAAGCUGGUACUACAACAGUGUCAAGUUUGUCAACUUGCGAAACCUGACCGUGUUCCUUACCCUGGUCUGUUACAGCCCUUGUCAGUGCCUUCGCAACCAUGGGAAAUGAUGACUAUGGACUUUAUUGAAGGUUUGCCAGUUUCACGACAAUAUAACUGCAUAUUGGUAGUCAUUGACAAAUUGACCAAAUAUGGUCAUUUCAUCGCUCUCAAACAUCCAUACACGGCUGCAUCGGUCGCUGAUUCCUUCCUAGAUCGUGUGUAUCGUCUUCAUGGCCUCCCUGUCUCAUUGGUUUCAGACAAAGAUCCUGUUUUUACCAGCAUAUUCUGGAAGGAAGUGUGUAGCAGAACUAGCAUUAAACUUCGCAUGAGCUCAGGUCAACACCCCCAGACUGACGGGCAAACCGAGCAUGUCAAUCAACAGGUGGAAGGCUAUCUCCGUUGUUUUAUCAAUGCACAUCCAAAUCGUUGGUCCAGUUGGUUGCCUCUAUGUGAACUCUGGUAUAACACAAACUGGCAUUCAUCGACAGGCCGUACUCCCUUCGAGUUGGUUUACGGGCAUCCUCCACGUUACUUUGGUAUUUCACCAGUGGAUGCCAUUGGAAACUCUGAUGUUCAGCAAUGGUUGAAUGAGCGGCAUGUUGUCAUGGAAUCUGUCAAGCAACAUUCUCUUAGAGCGCAACAACGGAUGAAAGCUCAGGCUGACAAGCACAGGACAGAGAGGUCUUUUGAAGUGGGGGAGUCAGUUUUCCUGAAAAUGCAACCAUAUUCAGUCUUCCAUUGCACCGCGCGCAAAUCAUAA
rnacentral:rRNA from 1 species